AUUGCAAAGUCGAACGAUGAAGCCCUUCGGGGUGGAUUAGUGGCGAACGGGUGAGUAACACGUGGGCAAUCUGCCCUUCACUCUGGGACAAGCCCUGGAAACGGGGUCUAAUACCGGAUAACACUCUGUCCCGCAUGGGACGGGGUUGAAAGCUCCGGCGGUGAAGGAUGAGCCCGCGGCCUAUCAGCUUGUUGGUGGGGUGAUGGCCUACCAAGGCGACGACGGGUAGCCGGCCUGAGAGGGCGACCGGCCACACUGGGACUGAGACACGGCCCAGACUCCUACGGGAGGCAGCAGUGGGGAAUAUUGCACAAUGGGCGAAAGCCUGAUGCAGCGACGCCGCGUGAGGGAUGACGGCCUUCGGGUUGUAAACCUCUUUCAGCAGGGAAGAAGCGAGAGUGACGGUACCUGCAGAAGAAGCGCCGGCUAACUACGUGUCAGCAGCCGCGGUAAUACGUAGGGGCGCAAGCGUUGUCCGGAAUUUUUUGGGGC
rnacentral:rRNA from 1 species